GAGUAACACGUGAGCAACCUACCCCUGACUCUGGGAUAAGCACUGGAAACGGUGUCUAAUACCGGAUACGAGUAGCGAAGGCAUCUUCAGCUACUGGAAAGAACUUCGGUCUGGGAUGGGCUCGCGGCCUAUCAGCUUGUUGGUGAGGUAAUGGCUCACCAAGGCGUCGACGGGUAGCCGGCCUGAGAGGGUGACCGGCCACACUGGGACUGAGACACGGCCCAGACUCCUACGGGAGGCAGCAGUGGGGAAUAUUGCACAAUGGGCGCAAGCCUGAUGCAGCAACGCCGCGUGAGGGACGACGGCCUUCGGGUUGUAAACCUCUUUUAGCAGGGAAGAAGCGAAAGUGACGGUACCUGCAGAAAAAGCACCGGCUAACUACGUGCCAGCAGCCGCGGUAAUACGUAGGGUGCAAGCGUUAUCCGGAAUUAUUGGGCGUAAAGAGCUCGUAGGCGGUUUGUCGCGUCUGCUGUGAAAACCCGAGGCUCAACCUCGGGCCUGCAGUGGGUACGGGCAGACUAGAGUGCGGUAGGGGAGAUUGGAAUUCCUGGU
rnacentral:rRNA from 1 species